rnacentral:sRNA from 1 species
ACUCUCUCUCUUCUUCUCGAACGCACGGGCAACCACCAAAACCACCUAAAACCUAUACCAACGUCCAAGUUAAGACUACCAUUGCAACCCUGAGGACUCCACGAUCACGUAGACACCAUUUUCAGGUAAGUUUUGCUUCGGAAAACCCUAGUUUUUAAGGUCCCGUGUUUAUAUACUGUUCAUGAUCUUUUAAAUGGUUACGAUUUAGGCUAAAACAAGAUCACAGCGAGCUUAGUGAGGUCCCAAGGAAGCUCGGAGUGCUUCGUUGGAAGUUUUUGGACGUAAGAACACGGAGAUCG